UUAGGUGGCUAUAGCGUCAGGGUUCCACCUCUUCCCAUUCCGAACAGAGAAGUUAAGCCUGACAACGCCGAUGGUACUGCGUAAGUGGGAGAGUAGGUAGCUGCCUUCU
rnacentral:rRNA from 1 species